rnacentral:rRNA from 1 species
AUUGAACGCUGGCGACAGGCUUAACACAUGCAAGUCGAGCGAGGUCAUGGUGCUUGCACUAUCACUUAGCGGCGGACGGGUGAGUAAUGCUUAGGAAUCUGCCUAUUAGUGGGGGACAACAUCUCGAAAGGGAUGCUAAUACCGCAUACGUACUACGGGCGAAAGCAGGGGCACACUUGUGUCCUUGCGCUAACAGAUGAGCCUAGGUCGGAUUAGCUAGGUGGUGGCGUAAAGGCCUACUCAGGCGACGAGCUGUAGCGGGUCUGAGAGGAUGCUCCGCCAGACUUGGACUGAGACACGGGCCAGACUCCUACGAGAGGCAGCAGUGGGGAAUAUUGGACAAUGGGGGGAACCCUGGUCCAGCCAUGCCGCGUGUGUGAAGAAGGCCUUAUGGUUGUAAAGCACUUUAAGCGAGGAGGAGGCUCUUUUGGUUAAUACCCAAGAUGAGUGGACGUUACUCGCAGAAUGAGCACCGGCUAACUCUGUGCCAGCAGCCGCAGUAA